rnacentral:lncRNA from 1 species
CGGAAGCGGCCCACCGGAAGUGGCGCGCGCCUGCUCAGGGAGCUCGGGUUGUAGGUGGUGCGCCGGCCGCUCCGGUACCCCUGAGACUCUGUAGGGCCUUCGGGCCGGUAGGCGAGGAAUGGAGCCGGCAGGCGGCGGUGGCGGCGUCUCCUCCUCCACAGAUCCGCGAAGCACCUACGUGCUGAGUAACCUUGCGGAGGUGGUGGAGCGUGUGUUUACCUUCCUGCCGGCCAAAGCGCUGCUUCGGGUAGCCGGGUGAGGGCGAAUGGGGCGGGAGGAGACCUUCGUCCCGGAGGGUGGCGGGGUCGCCUCUGCCGGGACCUCUGCCCGGGUUUCCUAGUGCUUAGCUGGCGCUGCGAGGCUGCUGACGGUGGGAACCGGCCGCCCGGCGGCAACCCUUUGUGCUUUUGCAUCCCCAGAGUAUGCCGCCUGUGGAGGGAGUGUGUACGCAGAGUGCUGCGGACCCAUCGCAGCGUGACCUGGAUCUCCGCGGGUGUGGCUGAAGCGGGCCACCUGGAGGGACAUUGCUUGGUGCGCGUGGUAGCUGAGGCGCUUGAGGCAAGUAUGGAGUUAUGCGUUGGACAGUCACUUGCAGGACUGGUGGGCCAUCUUGGAGAACUUUUUAAAAAAUCAAGAUUGUGAUACAUAUCCUUGCUUUCGUUAACUCGGAGAACCUAUGCUCGUAUUCUGGCUUUUGUAGUAAACGUCAGGUUUUGUAGGGGCGUACUGCGGUUUAGUCAUUAUUAGAUGUUGGGCAAUUGAAGUAUCCAGGUGUCCACUAUUACAAGGCCGUACAGAGCCUUCCUUAACUUGCCUCAAUUUUGCAAUGAAGGUGUUGGGUAUCGCUUGCCCAGGGUCUCACACUAGAACCGGAAGAACUAAAACUUCUACCUAAAUACGUAAACCACAUUCCUUUUCUCAUUUUUGUCCCUGGAUCCAGGAGAGUCAGUGUUCAGGGAGGUGAAGACAGAUUAUAGAGCUGAUAGAUAGUGAAUCUCCAGUAUCUCACUGAGUGGCAGGGGCCCUCGUGAGGAAAUUGCCAAUUUGAUGCCCUAUUAUCGCUUAGUAUGUAUAAUAGGCAAAUAGGAAUGUUCUACUUAACCACAAUAUAGUCUCCACAUUGGGAAGUUAUCAUUGAUGUAUGUGUCGAUUCUUUUGGUGUUGAGUUUGGUUUUCAACUUGAUCCAGAAAGAGGGAACUCAAGUUAAGUGCCUGCCAAAGAUUGACCCGUGGACAAAUCUGUAGGCCACUCUCUUGAUUAAUGUUUGGUGUGGGAGCCAAAGUGCCCCAGUGCUUUUCUUAAGAGCAGAAGGAUUUGAUUCUGUUCCCAAUGAGUAACUGAAAGGCGCGCUCCUUUGGUUUGUAUGUUUCUCCAACCUGACUUUCUGUACCAGCCCCAACACUUAAGAAAAUUCAAGGCACAAGUUGAGUGUGACUGGGAUUUAUUAGAUUUUUUUAUCCCAUUACCUUAAAUUCCUUGAUUUAAGAGGUGUCUGCCAGAAACUUCUGCCUUUAAAUUUUCUGUCCUGUUGCAGUUAAUAAGUAUUUGUCUGUAGAGAAGCUUUGAAACUUACUUUUCAUUCUCUUCCACUUUGUUCACACAGCACUCAUACAUACGCUUGGUCUCUUGUGUAGAGCUGUACCUGUUACUGUUAGACUCUCCUUGGUACUCACACAGUCUUUGUGUGGCUAGUGAGCACUCAAGCCAGUUUUAUUGUCUCUUAGGGAUGACCUUUCUUUUGGCACCAGUUGUCUUCAGCUUGUAUUUCACCUGCUUCAUUCAAGAACUUAGUAGUUUCACUAAUAGUCUUGGUUUCUUUUAGUGGAGAAUGGUAUUUAAUUUAGACUCUAAGGUCAGUACUGUGUAAGUCUACUCACUGUUUUAAGGGUUUGCUUCCUCUAGCCUAGACAGGAAUAUGUGUGUAUGUAUAUGCAUAUGCAAUUGUUCUUUGGUAUUGUCAGGGUAGUCGAUGCACCAUAUUGAAUUCCACAGCUGCUCAAGUUCCUUAUAAAGUGGUAUAGUAUUCUGUUAACCUAUAUUGCCCACCCUUAUUUAAAUUCAAAUUUCUAGAUUAUUUAUACCUCAUAUAAGGUAUAAAUGUAGACUAUAUUAGGAAAUAAAGACAAAAAAGUUUGUAAAUAUAGCAUAGAUUCGGCCCCUCCCCCAUUUU